rnacentral:ncRNA from 1 species
UAAACUCUGGAGAGAAGUGUUGAAUCACUCACCGAAGGGGGAAGGUUGCUGCAUACAGUUAUGAUGCAGUCACCGAAGCUCUCAGGUACACAUGACAGAUGGGAAA